GCGGCUGUGUCCGAGUGGUUAAGGAGGUGGACUUGAAACGAUCAUGAUAUCCACUGGGUUCUCCCGCGCAGGUUCGAAUCCUGUCGGCCGCG